GGAAGUAAAAGUCGUAACAAGGUUUCCGUAGGUGAACCUGCGGAAGGAUCAUUAACGAGAGAGGGGCCUCGUGCCUCGGGGGCUUCGGCCCCGCCUCUUCACCCCGUGCGUACCUACUUUGUUGCUUUGGCGGGCCUCGGGUUUUCCCGACGCCGGCCCGGGGGCUACCCCGGGCUCUGCGCGCGCCCGCCGCAGGCCAUUCCGAAACUCUGUUCAUCAGUGUCGUCCGAGUACCAAUUCAAUAACUAAAACUUUCAACAACGGAUCUCUUGGUUCUGGCAUCGAUGAAGAACGCAGCGAAAUGCGAUAAGUAAUGUGAAUUGCAGAAUUCAGUGAAUCAUCGAAUCUUUGAACGCACAUUGCGCCCCCUGGUAUUCCGGGGGGCAUGCCUGUUCGAGCGUCAUUGCAACCCUCAAGCACUGCUUGGUGUUGGGCCUUCGUCCCUCGGACGUGCCCGAAAGUCAGUGGCGGUCCAUCGGGACUUCAAGCGCAGUAGAACUAUCAUCCGCUUAAGAAGCUUCCCGCUGCGGCCAGCCAGCCAACCCCCAACUACUUCAAUGGUGACCU
rnacentral:rRNA from 1 species